rnacentral:rRNA from 1 species
UACGAAGGGGGCGAGCGUUGUUCGGAAUUACUGGGCGUAAAGGGCGCGCAGGCGGCUCGACAAGUCAGAUGUGAAAGCCCCGGGCUCAACCUGGGAACGGCAUUUGGGACUGUCGGGCUAGAGUUCGGGAGAGGUGGGUGGAAUUCCCAGUGUAGAGGUGAAAUUCGUAGAUAUUGGGAAGAACACCGGUGGCGAAGGCGGCUCACUGGACCGAGACUGACGCUGAGGCGGCGGAAAGCGUGGGGAGCCAAACAGGG